AGCAGCCGCGGUAAUUCCAGCUCCAAUAGCGUAUAUUAAAGUUGUUGCAGUUAAAAAGCUCGUAGUUGAAUUUCGGGGUUCUACCGUUGGUCGGGCUUUGUCUGUACUGGCGUGUAGAAUUUCUACCUUCUGGGGAACCAUCAUGUUAUUAAUCUAGCGUGGUGGGAAACCAGGACCUCUACCUUGAAAAAAUUAGAGUGUUCAAAGCAGGCUUAUGUCUGAAUACAUUAGCAUGGAAUAAUAGAAUAGGACGGUGGUCCUGUUUUGUUGGUUUCUGAAUCACCGUAAUGAUUAAUAGGGAUAGUUGGGGGCAUUAGUAUUCAAUUGUCAGAGGUGAAAUUCUUGGAUUUAUUGAAGACUAACUUCUGCGAAAGCAUUUGCCAAGGAUGUUUUCAUUAAUCAAGAACGAAAGUUAGGGGACCGAAGACGAUCAGAUACCGUCGUAGUCUUAACCAUAAACUAUGCCGACUAGGGAUCGGACGAUGUUAAUUUUUCUUGACUCGUUCGGCG
rnacentral:rRNA from 1 species